rnacentral:rRNA from 1 species
UACGUAGGGUGCGAGCGUUGUCCGGAAUUAUUGGGCUUAAAGGGCGCGUAGGCGGCCGGGUUGGUCGUGGGUGAAAUCCCCCAGCUUAACUGGGGAAUUGCCUACGAUACUGCCUGGCUCGAGGGAGGAAGGGGCGGCCGGAACUGUCGGUGGAGCGGUGAAAUGCGUUGAGAUCGACAGGAACGCCGGUGGCGAAAGCGGGCCGCUGGCCCUCUUCUGACGCUGAUGCGCGAAAGCCAGGGGAGCGAACGGG